GGAUACGGUGUUGGCCCGUUGAAUACACCAGUUUCCAAUGGAUCAUUGAACAGCUACGUUGCGCGUGGUUAGUAUCUGGAUGGGUGACCAUCUGGGCAAUUGCGCUCUGCUUGCU
rnacentral:rRNA from 1 species